GUGGUGGCAGCCCCUUUCAUCGGAGCGGAGCCGUCAACAUGCAGUGCCCCAGGGCUGCCUCUGGCGGGUGCCGGGAAUGCCGAGCGGUGUGGUCACCUGCAAGCUGGGGAAUCGAAAUGGGAAUAAUGAAGACGAAGGAAAUGCGACGAGGAUUGGUAUUCACGGAGCAGCACCUGUUUCCAGGCCUGUUUUUCAAUUUUUACAAUAGCCCCACGAGUUACGUACCAUUACCAUUUCCCAAAUGAGAAAAUCAAGGCACAGACAGGUCAAGUCCUUUGGCGGAGGGGAGCAGAGAAGUGUCACAGGGGUGGCAGUCACGCAGUCACCCAGGAGGGGCCCGGAAGGGGGUACUCAAGCUGAGACUGGAGCCCCCUCCCCCUCCGCAUGCGCCCAGACCAUGCCAGAUGUUUCCCAGCUGUGGACUGGUGCUCCCCGCAGACGCCGGCCCCAAGGCCCACCCUCGCCGGUGAGGCUUCCCGGAGGGAGCUGCGUUCGUCAGAGACGCUGGGAGCAGGCAGUGCAGAGAGCUCUGGCGUGCACAGGCGUGGGCGGACCGCGGCGAGGGCGCGAUCAGUUCCUUCCGAUCUCUUCUCGUGUCUGGGUCUGCUGGGCAUUCACUCAUCACUCCAAAAGAACAGCACCCAGCAUGCGCUCACACAGCCUUGUUCUGCACCCCAACUUUCACCAUGACUGGGGGGAAAGGAAGGGCUUCUAGCAAAAGCAGUCCUAGGGAAACCUAGGUGGAAAAAAAGCUUCCGGCUUGGAGUCCAGAGAGGGUUUCCUGCAUGGUGAGGGGAUUGGGCAGGCAGAUCACAGCACACAGGCCCCUCCAUCUGGUCCCCUGGCCCUGCCCUGCACACUGGGGCUCACAACCCUGUGGCCCCGGAAACGCCCUCUGCCCUCCCCGGAAGACGGAGUCUGCAGUUUUCCUUGAACACAGCACUUUGUGAUGAUGACGCAAACUUCAAAUGCAGCUCUUUCCUGUCUUUGAGUCGAGGAAGAGGUGCACAGCAGGCUGCUGGUGAGAGCCCGACACCAGGCCUUCUGGCCUCAGAGUUGCUGGGUGCCCAGGUGAGCGGCCAGCCUCGGCCUUCUGCCCAUACCCUGCCACCCUGGCCAUCCUAGGGGACCCCAGAGAGCCAGGCGGAGAGCGACCCUGCACCUCG